UACGUAGGGGGGCAAGCGUUUGUCCGGAUUUAUUGGGCGUAAAGAGCGUGUAGGCGGCCUGACAGGUCUGCUGUGAAAACUCGAGGCUCAACCUCGAGAUGUCGGCGGAAACCGUCUGGCUAGAGUCCGGAAGAGGAGAGUGGAAUUCCUGGUGUAGCGGUGAAAUGCGCAGAUAUCAGGAAGAACACCUAUGGCGAAGGCAGCUCUCUGGGACGGUACUGACGCUGAGACGCGAAAGCGU
rnacentral:rRNA from 1 species